CCUACGUGGGGCAGCAGUGGGGAAUAUUGGACAAUGGGGGCAACCCUGAUCCAGCCAUGCCGCGUGUGUGAAGAAGGCCCUCGGGUUGUAAAGCACUUUCAGUGAGGAAGAACGCCUGGUGGUUAAUACCCAUCAGGAAAGACAUCACUCACAGAAGAAGCACCGGCUAACUCCGUGCCAGCAGCCGCGGUAAUACGGAGGGUGCGAGCGUUAAUCGGAAUUACUGGGCGUAAAGCGCGCGUAGGUGGCUUGAUAAGCCGGUUGUGAAAGCCCCGGGCUCAACCUGGGAACGGCAUCCGGAACUGUCAAGCUAGAGUGCAGGAGAGGAAGGUAGAAUUCCCGGUGUAGCGGUGAAAUGCGUAGAGAUCGGGAGGAAUACCAGUGGCGAAGGCGGCCUUCUGGACUGACACUGACACUGAGGUGCGAAAGCGUGGGUAGCAAACAGGAUUAGAUACCCCGGUAGUC
rnacentral:rRNA from 1 species